rnacentral:lncRNA from 1 species
CUUGAGGCAGAAUUUCUUCUCCUCCGGGAGAAAUCAACCGAUGGUAGAUGUUAACCAAGUCUGUAGAAUAUCUACUCAGCAGCAUCUAGUGCUGGAGUUAAAUAGCUGGGUGCUAUGGUCCAGCCAAGGUGCCGCCUGAAACACCCUCACAUGGUGGGAAGAGCGGUGGUUGAAGAAGGAACCCUGGAGACCUUGAUGUUGAAGAGAGGGCAAGGGAAGAGGGCUAAGGACAAGAAAAGAGCCAUUGGAGAGAGAAAGAGAUGAAGUGGAAGACAGUGAGUGAGGGGCUGGCAGAAGGAUUUCCCCUCUUCAAACUAGAGGAGAACUUCCUCAGCCUCCAUGCAGCCGGCCAGAUCCUAGGGCAAAGCUCUGGCUAGAGAAGGCAAGGACAGGCAAGAAAAUG